AGCUCAAACACCGUGAAAUUCAUAAAACUGACUUAAAACUGCGUGGCAAAAAAAAUUAAGAAGUGUACUACCCACGUGACAAAUCAUGGAAAGAACGUGGAAAGAGCCAACAAAGACGGGACGAGAGCAAGUGCGAGUUUGCCUACGCCCUGAAACAUCUCGGCUCCCGCGCGUACGCGAAGGAAGAGAAGGAAACCAGCAUGCGCAACGAAAUUCUCUAUUUGGCGUUAGUACAUGGUCUGGCCGACAACGAACUGGCAAAUUCAAUACCAAAUAAAAUAGGGUACUCCCGAGAUUUCUGGGAUGCAGCGAAGCUAGUUUUGUAUUCAGAACCCUUAUCUCAAAUACUCGAAAACGGUCCUACUUUGUGAAUGUGGCCAAAACAGAAAGUGUGACAAAGCAAGUAAACCCAACGAGAGAAAAUUGGUUCACGAUAAGGAUGGAAUUAGAAAACAUGAAGCGUAUGAUAGUUUCAUUUGAAAACACCACGAGUGGGAAACAUUGACCCACCCCAGCUGGUCGUUAAUGCUUUAGUUGCGGUCAGUAGGGACACAUCUGAAGAUUUUGCCCAAACUUACAACCAAGGUAUGAUGCGUUCGACGGAGAGAAAUAUUCGUGCUGACUCGGCAAAAAAUAAGAUACAAACUAAAAGAACAGGAAACGUUAUCCGAAGUGAACUUUGCGGGAGAUAUAUCGUACGAUUUCAUUCUGGGACUGGACUUUUUGCAACAAAAUCAUUGUCGUUUGUAUCAUAGAUCAAACUUGAUGACUACGCCAAAAUCCGGCGUCCCACUUUUGUCCAAACCAUAUAUUCCGGAGUGUCAUAAAGUAUGUGUAAUUGAAAAAGUCGAAGUUGCGUUUACUGAGGUAAUAGUACGUGCUAUAUCCAGUCGACAUGGAGGAAAUAAUAAACUUACACCAGAAUUUUCAGCGUUCGUCGAGAGAAACAAGCAGUUUUGCUCUCGGUUCGGUUAAUUGACAGUCAACGGUAUUACCGCGUACCAACGAAACGCCUCAAGGCGCAGCAUUAGUUCCCGCCAGCUGCUCAAUCAAUGCUGUAACUAAACAUAAGUUGGUGUUCGACGGCGUGAACCUCAGUGACAAAUUUAAUGGACAACAUAGGAAAGCCAUAGAACGUCUGUUGCACGACCAUACUAAUGCUUUUUCUGUUUCCAGCACAGAUUUAGGUCGAACGAACUGGGUAAAACAGAACAUCGACACGGGAGAUGCAAGACCAAGGCAACCCCUGAGAAGAACCUCCACAAGCGACAGCAGAUCGAGGAUAUAAUUUUGGAAAUGAGAAGUCUGAACUUAAUAAAACCGUCAACUUCUCCGUGGUGGAGUUGUUUUGGUGAGGAAAAAGUUGGGUGAGCCACGUUUUUGCAUUGACUACCGCCAGCUUAAUGAGGUAACUAAGAAAAACAGUUACCCUUCACCACGCGUCGAUGACAUCUUGGACGAAAUGGCCGGAUCCACUUUCUUUUCGACGCUGGACCUAAAAUCUGGCUAUUGGCAAAUAGCAAUGGAUGCAGAUUCACGUGGGACUAUUUGAAUUUACUGUCAUACAGGUAUGGAAGGAACGGAGUGUUGGCCUAUCUUGACGGUAUCGUUGUGCAUGUACGCAAUUUAACGAUUAAAUGAAGUGCUGAACCGAAUCGAAGACGCGGGACUCACUCUGAAACUAUCGAAGUGCUACUUGUUCGAAGAAAAGGUUCGAUUUCUUGAACACAUCGUCUCUAAAGUUGGCAUAGCUUGUGUUCCGGACAGAUUGCAGCUGUAGCUUCGUGGCCGGUACCCAGAUCAAUGAAUCAGGUACGUCAGUUUGUUGGUUUGACUUCAUAUUAUCGAAAGUUUGUCAAGGAUUACGCAAAAAACUGCCGCACCAUUGCAUAAACUUACAAAGAAAGGUCACAAGUUUGAAUGGUCAGACGAAUGUCAACAGUCAUUUUCCGCUCUAUAAGAUGUGCUGGUUGUAACUCAUGUACUACACAAUACACUUGCUUUUCUUGUUCUUUCAUAGUAGACACCCGAUGCUUCUGGCCACGCACAGGAAUGCGUGCUUGGACAAGUCAUUGACGGAAAAGAAAAUGUAGCAGAACGACACUACUCUACCACGCAAAACGAGUUACUCGAAGUGAUCUUUGCAACAAAACUAUUUAAAUUCUAUCUUUUAGGCUGGAAGUUCACAUUACGAACAGAUCACGCAUCUCUCCGAUAGCUAUGGAAAUCUCGGGAAAUCUACGCGCAAUGUGGCCGUUGGGUAGAACUUGGCCCAAUUCAACUUCGAGAUUGUACAUCGCCCGCAGAAGUCAAACACAAGAACGCUGAUUCGUUGAGUCGACGAGACGAGGACGACAACUGUCCGUUCAACGUCAAGGUGGAAAAGAUAAUACACAACAAAAAUGAAAUUCGCUAAUACCAUCGCAGGAAACAAGAGCGUUGCAGCGUAUCGAGAUUGACGUCCUUGGCCCCCUCCCAGUGACAUCACUAGGGUUCCAAUACAUACUCGUCACCUGUGAUGUGUUCACCAAGUAUGUACGAGCCUGGCCAAUGCGUCGACAGACAGCGAAGGAGCUAGAAAGCCUGUUGUAGCAUCAAUGGUUUACUCUACAUAAAGUGCCGGAAACUAUACACUCGGAUCGAGGUACAAAUUUUGAGAGUAAAUUGUUUCAGGAAUUUGUUCAACUUAUGGGAAGCAAUAAAACUCGUAGCAUGGCUUAUCACCCGGCAUGCAAUGGUGGAGUUAAGCGUAAUAAUAAAACAAUAACUGGCAUGAUCCGAGACUACGUUCCAAAGGACGAAAAGGGCUGGGACAAUCCACUGUCAGCCGUGGUAGCCGCUUACAAUUCAAGUAAGCAUGAGGGCACUGGCGUCGCACCUCAUUUUCUGUUGACAGGUCCAACACUCCGUCUCCCAGCAGACUUAAUGAAUCCGACACCAA